AAGACAAACCUUGUCCUCAAGGUUGAAGUCAAGAAAAUGGUGUAGAAUAAUAGUAGCAACUUCCACAUGGACAAUAAAACAUCCACUAGGAUCCCAUUGAAUGAAUUGUUUUUCAUGGAAUAAACAAGCAUCACCAAAUUUUUCUAGUUCUUGUACCAAAGCAGAAACGAAACAAGCAGCUCCAUCAAAAUGGUACUCAAUAAUAAAUCCUAGUUUGUACCAUAAUCUUUAUUCAAGUAUGUAAUUAGCUUCUUUAGCAUUUUGUGUAAAGACUUUCUUUAAAAUGAAAAAAUAAGCAACACCACCACCACCCGGAUCCCAUUUCUUGGAGUGCCUUCCGUUUGGUGUCAUUUGCAAAUAUUCAGGCUCUGUUUGGUAACACAAAUAAGCUAGCUUAUAGCUUAUUAUAUGAGCUUAUAAGCUUGUUUCAAAAAAUUAGAGGUGUUUGGUAACAAGCUUUUUGUACUAGCUUAUAGCUUUUUUUCAGAUGCUAUUUCAGCAACACUCAUUGGCAGUACCAUGUUGUAUGCACUACAAGUGGUAGUAAAACCAUUGGUAACUUUGGGGCACAUGAAUCAAGUACUGCAGCCACCCAAACAGAUACAUCAACAAGUUGAACUAUUUGAGGCCAUGGAGAAUUA
rnacentral:lncRNA from 1 species